AUUUUUUUGCCGCCGCAUUCCCCCUUAUCUUCUCUAUCCCUAAGUAUUUUCAUCCUCUUUUCUCACAAUCUCUUGCUCACUGGAGCCGCGUAGGAGCAGCAACAACUGGGAAGAGCGAUCGCAAGGCGAUAGCGAGGAUCGUCGCGGAUGCCUCCCUCGCGAAUGGUGGAAGUAAUGGAGAAUGGGCGGCGCGACGCGAUGGGACUGCGCAAGGUCGACUCUUUGUGCUCCUGCUUUGCCAUUCCUGUAUUCCUCCGCCCCCUUCCAUUUCCGACUCCCUUAAUACUGAACAGCGGAGUGUGAGUUGCGCCCACGAACUCCAAAGACAGCAUUUUUUUCUUCUUUUUUUGGGAAGAAGAGAAUCCCUUUGUUGUUAUUUUAAUCCCCCUUGACCGUGGAUUCAUGGGGGGAGAGUAGAAAUAACGGCGGGAGGAGGGGAUAGAGAGAUAUGCUGUGCCUGAAAGCGGAAGCUUUGACCAACGAGAUGUAUUCCUCCCAUGGCGUCAUGCUUCCGGCGAAUCUGGGAAGAUCGCUGCAGAAGGUGAUGCACAAGGUGGGGAAGAAUCGCAGUGAGGAACCACGGUGUCGGCGCUCACGCUCGGAUCCGUCUUCGUGUUCCUCCGGUGAUGGCACUCCGAGCUGUUCUGGUCUAGAUGCUAGCAAGAGUUAUGAUGGCACAAUGGAAGGGAGGCGCCACAAAAUGUGCAACUACAGAUCUCAGCUCGAAGAGGAAGACUGAACUGAGAAUAUCCGACCAUCAGAGUCACAAUUAACCAAUUCUUUGUUUGACUGAUUGCAUCAAAUCUGAUUGACAUUUAUCCUCUGGUAUUUUGGUCGUAGAAGACUAUAGUUAUAUAUUUGUGAGCAUUGGCCGGAUUCGGAGGCUUCAAAGAUUGUAAGCACAUUUUUCUUUUAGCUCCUUUUUUUUCCUUCUAGAAUACCUUCGAAUGCAUGGUGAUUCUGAUAAAAAAAAAAAAAAAAAAUGAAACGAUGUAAUAUGAAAUAUGAAAUCCCAAACAAGGAGACUGUGAACCACCAUUUGUAGAUCAUCAUAUUAAUUUAUAAACUAUUCUAUUCAAUAUACUCUUUCUUAAUUGCAUUUCUCUUGCUAGUGUUUGAUCUAGAUUUGAGAUAGUACUGAAGAUGAAAUUUCUAAUCUUAAGUAGCUAUAGUGAUGGAAUUCUUUCAAGGAUGAAAUUAUCAUUGUGGCAGGGCUUUGCACCAAAACUGCUUGCACGGUCCUAUUCCAUAAAGAACUGCACUGAGCUAACAACAUUGUAUCCGUUUUCUUCUAUUCAUAUAUUUUUUUUAUCGAUUAUAGUUAUUGGCAAUGAGAAUUUACUAUAUAUUGUUGCAUGGAGUUGUCACAUUACUUAUUUUUCAAGGUAUCUGAGAGCUAAUUACCUUUAAGGGAACAUUCCACCCGAGAUUGGAGAACUUAUGCACCUUACCAUCUUGUAGUUUUUACAUCCCCUUGUUUUCUUUUGUUAUAUAGUUGUUUCUUUAAUCAGUUUUCUUGAGCUUGAUGUAAAAAAAUGUAGGGACUUGUCAAGCAAUUUGCUCAGGGGCAAAAUUCCUCCAUCUAUUGGCUCUCUGAACCAAUUACGAUUCCUGAAUUUAUCAACAAAUUUCUUGUCUGGUGAGGUUCCAACCGUUGGAAUCCUUAUAACUUUCCAAAGCACUUCAUGAGUAACUCUUCUAUUCUCUCUGAUGCUUCAUUGGCUUGCUCCAUUAAUUGUUACAUGUUAUCUAAUUGUUUUCUACUUGGGCAACUGAAGUUUUUUCCCCAUUACACAAGCAUUCUCUUCUACCUUUUUAUUUGACAUAUAGUGUAUAACUAGCAUUCUGGGUGAAAAUAUCUUAUUAGUUAUGCUCAGUGUUAGAAUGUGUUAUGUUAGCACUUUGCAUUUGGCCUUUCAGUGUUUGUUGGAUAAGUUUUAUGGCAUUGCCAACCUUAAAGUAUCAUGUUUGGUUUGAAUAUGUCACUGGGCUAAAUUGAACUCAAUGAAGAACCAUAUGAUUUAUAUGAUUGAGAUCGUUCCAAAUUGCCAAAUAGCUGUGGAUGUUAUGCAAUUUCAUUUCCUUCUAUACCAGUUGCUAAUUUCCAAU